CUGUAUUGUACUUCGGUUAUUCCUGAAACUGCCACUCUGUCCUGCUCCAAGCACUGAACAUUCGUACACAGUAGAAGAGAGUGCAGGUUUAGUUUCGAUGACGAUACAUGCUUUAAUUUCUCAACUAAAAAAACUUUAACCAGCUUGUCCAGUUGGAUAGUUCUACACUUCGUCUCUAAUCCCAAAAAAAACACACACGCUCUUGCUGCUAGAUUACUGCGUUUCCUUGCAUAUAAAGUCAAUGCCAUGUCCAAUGUGCAGCAAUUUGCAAAUACUACAUCAAGUCGAGGUCUGUGUAAAUUUCUUUGGCUGAUUCUACUUUUUUUGUUGCUUUGCUUUCUGCAAGCAUGGAGACGGCACCAGGCCGCAGCCACGAGCAUCGUCCAUUCCCAUCGACGAUGAGGGGCACGCAUCAUCUGGUUUUGAAGAACAGUAAGCAUUGCAGAGCGUGCUGAUGGCUUUGAUCAGCAUUGCAGACAUUCUUCCAAGUGAAAGGGAAGCAACGUGGGUUCAUCAGCAGCGGUCGAUGAGACAUUGUCUUGUUCAUACUUCUGAGUGCAAUCGGGCACAUGGAGUACUAUGGGUAGGUACACUGACAAUCAAGGCAUGGCAUAUCUGUACAGGUUCUUAUUUCUUCAAAAUCCCUCAUAUAACUGAAUUUUGUUUCUCCAAUACACUUACAGUCAACUUACAUGCUCAUCAUGAUUAUUUAUAUGUAACUUAUGUUUUAUUGGGAGUCUGAAUUUUCUCUUGCUACUUUCAA